ACAGAUAGCAAUGGGAUUUCCCAUAGGAGGGAAUAUCAGAAUUUGCUUCGACUUCGCGAAUGGUGCAGAAAGCAGUCUUUUUCAUUACAGUUUCUGGUGCUGGGCAACGGUAGAUCACUAUGGCUUCUGUACCGUGAAAUGAAGCCUUUGAUGAAAUACUGAUGCUUGGCCAAUCUCACCAACGGGAUAUAAUAAGAAAUGAUGCAGGUUUAUAACUACAUGUAUUGUAUAUCUGGAACAAAGUUAGUACGCUUUUUAUACCGAAGUUGGAUUUUUCUCCAGAUACAGGCAACUUACCCAACUUCGAAAGUAGUGCGCUGGAUUCGCCUAAAGAUGCGCUAAACAACGCAUCAAUUAGUUUGACAGAUAAAACUUUGGAAGAAAGUUCGGUUCGGAAGUCCCGACAACAAAGCGAGGUAAAAUGAGUGAAAAUGAAGUUUAAAAUGAUGUUUAAAAUAAUUUAAUUGAAAAUAAAAUA